AGCGGCUCUACGCAAAGCUGCAAGGAGGCAGGGAAUCUUUUAUUCAUGCGGAGGGAGCAUGGGGAAUCCGAGCUGCACCCGUGCCUACAGCCAGGCUGGGGUCUCCAGGCCGAUUGGCCUUCCCCACAUAGGCCAGGGUUCCAAGGAAGCGCCUCCGAGGAGAAGCGGACACGGGCAGGGAAGAGAAGUGGGAGGAAACAGCAGUGCAAGGGCCCGGAGGCAGACAGAGCCGGGAGUAUUUGAAGAUGGCCAGGAAAGCCAGGAGCCAGAGGGGGCGGAACCUGCCCAGCACUGGCAGCCGCCCCUCCCCACGCCACCCUGGCCCUGGGCUCCACACCUGUGGACGUGGGGGUCUCGGGCCUCCAGCAUUGCAAGGUCCCUCCCGGCCUCCCCGCCUGCUGGGCCCGGCUUCUCCUGACAAUGUCUAAUAAGGGGUGAUCUGUUAGGAGCCUGGGUGAACCAGGUUGGACAGUCAGCAUCAAUUCCAGCCACCCUCGGUGCCAGGGAGAGAUGGAUGCAUAGAGCCGUGAUCGGGGGAGGGCUGGCAGGGCUGGCGAGGGGAGCCAGGGCACCCUAUUACUCCCCAGGGCACCACCUGGAAUGGCCCCUCCAUUCAAAGAUGGACAUCUGAGGCCGAGGGAGACUGGGUGCGCUCCUGAUCCAUCGCCUGCUCCCCAGCCCCGGGUUCCCGCCUUGGUGAUGCCUGCCCCUGUGGGAUUCCUGCCCAGAUAAGCCCAGUACCUCCCGGGGAACUCUGAUGCUCAGAAGUAAAGCCUUGUGGCUGGGGGCCAGUGCUGUGGGAUAAUAGGUUAAGCCUCUGCCUGUGGUGCUGACAUCCCAUAUGGACGCUGGUUCGAGUCCCAGCUGUUCCACUUCUGAUCCAGCUUCCUGCUAAUGUGCCUGGGAAAGCAGGGGAAGGUAGCCCAAGUGCUUGGGCCCCUGUACCCCCGUAGGAGACCCAGAAGAAGCUCCUGGCUUUGGAUCGGCCCAGCUCCUGGCAUGGUGGCCAUUUGGGGAGUGAACCAGCGAAUGGAAGACCUCUCUCUCUCUCUCUCUACACAUCCCUCUGUAUCUCUGCCUUUCAAAUAGGGUUUCCAAGGACUGCCGAUGAGGGCCAGUCCCUGCCCACCCACAGGCGUGUUCAGGCACUCGCAAAAGACUAGCCAGGACCCGCCACACCCCUGUCCUGGUGGCCCUCCUCUUCCUGAGCGAGGCUGACGGCUGCCCAGGGUGGCCCCCAGCAGUGCCAGUGGUCACUCUGCUGCAGGGUGCUCCCCGAGCCCAGGAGCCGGCGACCGCUGCACUGCAGCCCCGGCAGGGAGGAGCUGUACCUAAUGGAGGUCUCCACAUCUCUGAGUCAGAGAGGAGUCCAGCAGGAGGGCACGGCUCAAACGGUUGUCUAGGACAUCGAAGGACAG
rnacentral:lncRNA from 1 species